rnacentral:lncRNA from 1 species
CUGAAGGCAUAGUUGAAGUAGCAAUUAAUUCUGGCUUAUUUUUAGCUAUGAUUGGUAGACUAGAGACUGCGUUGAUGCUUCUAUUUUCAGUUGCUGGCUUAUGUAUUUGGCCGAAGGUAGUUGCCCUUCAAGAGAUAAAGGAGAAGAUGUUAACUGGCUGUCGAAUUUAAGUGAGGAUUGUGAUAUAAAAACAGAAAACUGGCUGUACUAUAAUGUUUAUCCUGUGGAUAAAAUCAUGGUGCAUUCUUUUUGACAAUCUGUGGUAAUAUAAGAAGCAUUCUGCAAUUCUUAAUCACUUGGGAAAAUAUAUGGCCAAAAUAAUGGAAUAGAAAUAUGUAUUUUUUCCCCCAUUUUAUAGGCAAACCACUUCAAUAGAACAUGGCUGGCAGCCAUAUGGUCAUAUAUGAAUCCAACAACCAAUUUAGCAAAGAAAACUGCUUGUAACAAGUUUUGGAUAUGCCAUCCCAGGUAUUACUUUGAUGAUAAACAAGGAGAUGAUUGCCAAGAAAAUGAUAGUAACAUAUAUAAAAAGGCUAUCACUUCCCUGGAUGGUUCCUUCUGCUCCGACAUUUGCAGAAUCAAAGCUUUAGCCAGACGGCCAUCACUCUUCACAUGCAGGCGCACACGUGUGUUAAAAGUUCCUCAGUGAUAUCUCCAUCGUGUUGAAGACACACAUUGUAUACGGCAUAUUGCAUGAUGAGGUUUUGAUCAUCUUUUUCAUCUUUGGCUGCUGCCAUCACCCCCAAUUUAUACCCUGUACUUCACUUCUACACGUUUCGUAGAGCUCCCUGAAGGCACCAAGCUCUCCCAAGCUUUCCUGCCUUCAUAUAUGUCAUUCCCUCUGUCUGAUGUGUCAUAUCCUCACCACCUUCCAUCACCAACCUAGUGAACUUUUUGUUCAAUCUUAGAAAUUCAGCUUAUAUCACCUUCUUCAUGUAACUUUUGCUAACCUUCCCAUUGCCUGAAAGAAUGCUACAUUUGUUUUAUGACUGACCCCCAAAUAGACUGUGGGUUCCUGAAGUGUAGGUUCCCUAUUCUAUACAUCUUUGUAUCCCCAGAGUCUAGCUCAGUGGAGCUGAUUGAACAAGUAAAUAAAUAGAUGAAACUCUGAUACA